rnacentral:tRNA from 1 species
GCCUGCUUAGCUCAGUUGGUUAGAGCGUUCGGCUGUUAACCGAGAGGUCGUAGGUUCAAAUCCUACAGCAGGCG